CCCCUGUUGCUUGCUGGGGCAGUUUCCUGAGACUGUAAAACAUUCUUGCUUCCAAGGCUCCCUUUCCUGUGCUUAUGCAGAAGCCAUGCCAGAGCGCACAGCCCACUUCCCCAGACCCACUGUCCCUGACCUGAGAGAAGGAGGACCUGCAGGUGAUGUACACAGUACCCCGGAACCACCAAUGCCUUGCCCGUGAAUGUGACCGCACCUGCUUCCCACGGACCCACCUGUCUAGGCGAAGUUGGCACACAAUGCCCAGAAUGUCCACCUCCCCUCGGGCCUUCAGCUGCUGGCAGCCGAUUCGGGUGGCGAUGAAGCAGCCUGUCCGACCGAUCCCUGCGCUGGAAGUAACCAGAGAGAGGAUAGGGAGGUCACAGGAGAGCAGGGAAUGGGAGAGGCAGGUGAACAUGGCAGGCUGGGGCUAGGCUUCCAGUGAUGAAAGAAGAAACAGUAUUAAAGUGCUCUAUUUGUGAGGUGGAACUCUCACAUCUCCAAUUCUAGUAUCCCUGGCACCCCUGAGGCAGAAAAUAGCUUGUCCAGGAGAAGUUUGUAAGCCCUUGUUAGUCUCACACUCCGCCUAGCCCAGCUCACCAUUAAAUUAAGUAAAAUGGG